CUAAGGUAUGUCAUUCGAUUUGAACAGGGUCACAUCUUCAUGAAAACCGGAAUAGGCAACCCCAUGGGAAACACAACAACUUCAAAUGGUGGAGGUGAUUUUGGGAAAACGAACUCAAGCUCUAUUGGGUUUGGCGCCUUUGCAGGAAGUGCUUCAAACUCGAGUGGUACUGACACAUUUACCACAUCGUCCUCAGAGGGCUGGAUCUGAACAACAAUGAGAUUGAGGGUAACUGCGAGCUUCUUAGGUUCUUCUACUUCAGCAAUUAAUCCAAUCGACCCUUUGGCGUCCUAAUCAUCCUCAAUCUCGGUCACAUGGAUGCCCCCGCCCUUGUUGUUAGGCAGAGGGUUGUUGCGGACAUUGGGAGUGGGCUCAUUUGCUAUAAUAAUCUUGUUAUCAAUCAAAGUCUGAAUCUUGUCUUUCAACUAGCGAUACUUGUUGAUGGUAUGUCCUUUCAUUCCGGAAUGGUAUGCGCAGGUUUUGUUGGGGUUGAUCCAUGGGGAAGAUUUUAUGGGGUUAUGGCUGGGAUAGGUGAAACUUAACAGGCUGCUUUGAGGUUUUC
rnacentral:lncRNA from 1 species